UACGGAGGGAGCUAGCGUUGUUCGGAAUUACUGGGCGUAAAGCGCACGUAGGCGGCUAUUCAAGUCGGGGGUGAAAGCCCGGGGCUCAACCCCGGAACUGCCCUCGAAACUAGGUGGCUAGAAUCUUGGAGAGGUCAGUGGAAUUCCGAGUGUAGAGGUGAAAUUCGUAGAUAUUCGGAAGAACACCAGUGGCGAAGGCGACUGACUGGACAAGUAUUGACGCUGAGGUGCGAAAGCGUGGGGAGCAAACAGG
rnacentral:rRNA from 1 species